CUUCAGCACCGGGGAGAGCGCCCGGCAGCGCCCGCAGCGCCCGCAGCGCCCGCGCCGAGCGCCGGGCACGGCCCGGGGGCCGAGCCCGAUGGGGCCGCGCUGAGCCGGGCGGGCGGCCCGCGGGGCGGGCGGGCGGGGGGCGCGGGGGGCCCGGCGGGCUCCGGGCCGCCCGUGGAUGAGCACCAUGCGGCUGCUGCUGCUCGCUCUCCUCUUCUCCUCGUCCUUCGCCCGCGCCGGCUGCGACCCUAAGAUCGUCAAUAUCGGCGCGGUGCUGAGCACCAAGAAGCACGAGCAGAUCUUCCGCGAGGCGGUGAACCAGGCCAACAAGCGGCACGGCACCUGGAAGCUUCAGCUCAACGCCACCUCCGUCACCCACAAGCCCAACGCCAUCCAGAUGGCCCUGUCCGUCUGCGAGGACCUCAUCUCCAGCCAGGUCUAUGCAAUAUUAGUUAGUCACCCUCCUGCUCCCAACGAUCACCUAACACCAACACCUGUAUCAUACACAGCUGGCUUCUACAGGAUCCCUGUCAUUGGUCUGACAACACGCAUGUCUAUAUAUUCUGAUAAGAGCAUCCACCUGUCCUUUUUGCGCACGGUCCCACCUUACUCUCACCAGGCCAACGUCUGGUUUGAGAUGAUGAGAGUCUUCAACUGGAACCACGUCAUUCUGAUAGUCAGUGACGACCACGAGGGUCGUGCUGCACAGAAGAAGCUGGAGACCCUCCUGGAGGAGAAAGAGUCCAAGAGUAAAAAAAGGAACUAUGAAAACCUCGACCAACUUUCCUAUGACAACAAGCGAGGACCCAAGGCUGAGAAAGUGCUUCAGUUUGACCCUGGGACCAAAAAUGUGACAGCGCUGCUGCUGGAGGCGAAGGAGCUGGAGGCCAGGGUCAUCAUCCUCUCCGCCAGCGAGGAUGACGCGGCCACGGUGUACCGAUCAGCAGCCAUGCUCAACAUGACGGGCUCGGGCUACGUGUGGCUGGUGGGCGAGCGGGAGAUCUCGGGCAAUGCCCUGCGCUACGCCCCGGACGGAGUGAUCGGUUUGCAGCUCAUCAACGGCAAGAACGAGUCAGCCCACAUCAGUGACGCUGUCGCCGUGGUGGCCCAGGCCGUGCACGACUUGUUUGAGAAGGAGAAUAUCACAGACCCACCGCGGGGCUGCGUGGGCAACACCAACAUCUGGAAGACAGGACCCCUUUUUAAGAGGGUGUUGAUGUCCUCCAAGUAUUCAGAGGGUGUCACUGGCCGGGUGGAGUUCAACGAGGACGGGGACAGGAAGUUUGCCAACUACAGCAUCAUGAACCUGCAGAACCGGAAACUGGUCCAAGUUGGGAUUUACAAUGGCAGCAAUGUCCUGACCAACGACAGGAAGAUCAUCUGGCCAGGAGGGGAAACUGAGAAACCUCAAGGCUACCAGAUGUCAACCAAGUUGAAGAUUGUGACCAUCCACCAAGAGCCCUUUGUGUAUGUGAAGCCCACUCAGGCAGAUGGGACGUGCAGGGAGGAAUUCACCAUCAAUGGAGAUCCUGUCAAAAAGGUCUUCUGCACUGGACCCAAUGAGACCAUCCCAGGCCGUCCCACCGUGGCACUGUGCUGCUACGGCUUCUGCAUCGACCUGCUCAUCCGCCUGGCAGGCGUGAUGAACUUCACCUACGAGGUCCACCUGGUGGCUGAUGGUAAAUUUGGUACCCAAGAGCGGGUGAACAACAGCAACAAGAAGGAGUGGAACGGGAUGAUGGGGGAGCUGCUGAGCGGCCAGGCUGACAUGAUUGUGGCUCCCCUCACCAUCAACAACGAGCGGGCUCAGUACAUUGAGUUCUCCAAGCCCUUCAAGUACCAGGGCCUCACCAUCCUCGUGAAGAAGGAAAUCCCCCGCAGCACCCUGGACUCAUUCAUGCAGCCCUUCCAGAGCACGCUCUGGCUGCUGGUGGGGCUGUCUGUGCAUGUGGUGGCAGUGAUGUUGUACCUCUUAGACCGAUUCAGCCCAUUUGGCCGGUUCAAAGUAAACAGUGAGGAGGAGGAGGAAGAUGCCCUGACUCUCUCCUCAGCCAUGUGGUUCUCCUGGGGGGUCCUGCUGAACUCUGGCAUUGGAGAAGGUGCUCCCCGGAGUUUCUCUGCCCGUAUCCUUGGCAUGGUGUGGGCUGGCUUUGCUAUGAUCAUUGUGGCUUCAUACACUGCCAACCUGGCAGCCUUCCUGGUGUUAGACCGACCUGAGGAGAGGAUCACAGGCAUUAACGACCCCCGGCUGCGCAACCCCUCGGAUAAAUUCAUCUACGCCACAGUGAAGCAGAGCUCUGUGGACAUCUACUUCCGACGGCAGGUGGAGCUGAGCACCAUGUACAGGCACAUGGAGAAGCACAACUACGAGAGCGCUGCCGAAGCCAUCCAGGCAGUGAGGGACAACAAGCUGCACGCCUUCAUCUGGGACUCGGCGGUGCUGGAGUUCGAGGCCUCCCAGAAGUGUGACCUGGUGACCACGGGGGAGCUCUUCUUCCGCUCCGGCUUCGGGAUCGGGAUGCGCAAGGACAGCCCCUGGAAGCAGAACGUCUCCCUGGCCAUCCUCAAGUCCCACGAGAACGGCUUCAUGGAGGAUUUGGACAAGACUUGGGUGAGGUAUCAAGAGUGUGAUUCCCGUAGCAAUGCCCCAGCAACACUCACCUUUGAAAAUAUGGCAGGUGUGUUUAUGCUGGUGGCUGGAGGUAUUGUUGCCGGGAUAUUUUUAAUAUUCAUAGAGAUAGCUUACAAAAGGCAUAAGGACGCGCGGAGGAAGCAGAUGCAGCUGGCGUUUGCGGCCGUUAAUGUGUGGAGGAAAAACCUGCAGAGAGAACUGAGAAGGAGGAGCAAAUGUAUCCCCGAGCAUGCUCUACGCACCAGCGGGAUACAUUUUGGUUACCCCCGUGCGGUAGCAGAGCCAGACCUGGUCACUCCGUCCCCCGUCGGAAAGGUCACACUCAUUGGCACGAAAGCAAUUGGGGAGGACUCGUUGCCAGCGCCCGGCGCCGAGCGCGGCCGGGCCCCCCGGCCCGCGGCCCCCGCACCAUGGCGGCUGGUGCUCCCAGCCUGCGCCAACCAGGAUAGAAAAAGUGGUAGAGCAGAACCUGACCCUAAAAAGAAAGCCACUUUUAGGUCCAUCACCUCCACCCUGGCCUCCAGCUUCAAGAGACGUAGGUCCUCCAAGGAUACGCCCUGCAGAAUGGUCCCUCAGGAGUGCCAGAGAGACAGGCUGGCACCAUGGAGCCAAGACAGCCCUGGGAAGCUUCCAUCCCACUCUGAACGUCCUAGCGCCCACCAUCACCCGAGCUGCACAGCCUCUCCGCGGCACAUCAUCCCCACCGCCCCAGGAGGAGAUGCAUGUGUUCCCCAUAGGCAGCUCCUGCAACUCGAGUAGCACUGGCAGAGCUGACGUGUCCAUCCAUCGCAGCCACCCACGAUACUGCAACCCCACAGACGCCAUGUGAGACGCAUAAACCACACAGACACCUCCGAGCCGGCACAUUGCGUACAGACACGAUCGAGGUGCACAGGUCCCUUAGCCCCCCGCAUCGCCAGCCCCUGCAGAGCCACACUGCCAGCCCCAGCCCCAGUGACACACGGCCCGCGGCACCGCCCCGCCGGGGCAGCCGCUGGCCCCGCGGCCCUGGGGACGGUGCCAGAGCUGGGCAACAACCGAGGGGCUUCCUGGAAAAGGUCACCUUUUCAGUGAAGGAUCAGCUGUCCCAAAGCCAAACGCUUCUUGGCUGAGAAAGAGCCUAGUUUUUGGCCCAAAAGAACCAAAACAGUAUCACCCCACCGACAUCACCGGCCAGCUCAACCUCUCCGACCCCUCAGUCAGCACUGUGGUGUGACCUUCUCCCCGAGGGCCAUCAGUCCUUGCCCAACACAGUAGGAAGGCACAGCCAGGACUGCCUUUCAAGGGACACUGAUGGGUUCUUCCGGGUGAGAUGGGAGGAAAGCAUCCUUCAUCCAUACACAGUGACUCCAUUGUAUAUCUCCCUCCCUUCCUAGGCCUGCUGCCAUGCUCGUGCCCCAGGAAGCACGGCAGGACCAGGACAAGGUUUGGACUUCACUGUACAGAGAUAAUCGCUUCCAAACAGUGCCACAAUAAUCAGAAUUGCCACUGACUGGCUCCGUGCAAGGGGAAAGGACUGCAGAAGGCACACGGUGCCUGCUCUCCCACGGUAGCAGGGAAGAGCUGGUGCCAAACCACAAACACGUGCUUAACCUCAGAGGCUGCAGCCUUCUGAGCACACACAGCCCCUCAGAGGUGUGCUCCACAUCUCCCACCACCUGGAGGGCUCCACGGUCCUGAGCAGCUGGAGCAGCCAGCUCCCGGUGCUGCGGGCUUGGCACAUGUUCCUGCUGUGCCAAGUGACCCUCACGUCUGCCGCAGGGGCUGGAAGGUGUGUGCUCUGCUCCUUGCAGGGGUUGGACCCUCUUCCCUUCCUUCCCAUCGUCCCGUGACUGUGACUCCUGUGACUCGGUUCGUGUCCGUGGUCUGGCAGCAGCAGGAGAGCUCCCGCCCUGCAGCCCUCGCCCCCGAGCUAAUCGCGGUACUCCGGAGCCCGCGGUGUGCCGCCAGGCAAGACCCCGGCUCCCACCUCUCCUGCACAGAAGACAUCCCCAGGACCUGGCCACGGCCAGCAUGUAGCACUCACACAGCAGCUCUCCUGGCCAGGAAUUCUCCACGGGAAAUGGCUCUGGAUGGUUGCACUGACCUCUACCCCAGCUCCACACUGCCUCAGCACCAGCAAUGCAAGGAGAGAUGCUGCUGGCUGCCACCCAGCCCGUCUGCACGGCCGGGGCACCGCGGCCAGCGCUGGCGGCUCCCGUGCCCCCCUCACCUGCAGCCCAAGCUUGCCAGCAGCUCCCGCGGCAGCCCUGAAGCCCCAGCUCACGGCGCUCCAUCUGCCUGCACCCGGAGACGCGGCAAGCAGAGCGAGGGUCGGGAGAAGGAGCCGAACGGGCCGGGCUGACGCCGUCCCUCCCUGCACCGUCCUCCCCGGGCUGCCCCGAGCACCCUCCCCGAGGGCAGCGGGCGGAGGCAGCGGCCCCGGGGGUGAGCAGCGGCUCCUGCCCGCACGGAACACCCGCUGCAAGGUGGAGCCCGGCCCCAGCGGCACGGACUGCCUGCCCCGCGGGCAGCAAGACUUCACAUGGCAGCUGAGGUCUGUGAGCAUCGUCCCACCGACUGCUGUGGCUCCAUCAAGUUCAUCUAGCUCCAGCUGAGAAAUCGGACCCAUUGUACUUUAUACGUCAAUGUUACAUGAAUACCAAGUUUUUGCAAGAGCUCAGUAAAGUCUAGACUGGAUCAUGAAGUGGUUUAUUCCAGA